rnacentral:misc_RNA from 1 species
AGAUUUAAUUGGCAUUCUUCGAAGGUUAGCCACAUAGAUCUCUGUCUUUCACUUUUAUAGAAGUGCAGGAGCUGCAUUAUUGUAUUUAAAAAAUAAUAGAAUACAAACAAAUCACACAAUAACGUAGAUGUAUAUUUAUCUAAUUGAACGUGGAAGGGACAGUAGCCAACCUCAUCUGUUGCUUAAAUAAUCUAUACAGAAGUCAAAACAAGUGCACAUUUGUAGUUUUGGCCUAAGUUUGCGAUGACACAUGUAACGUAUUGUGUUUUUUGAGCUGGAAAUUAGUGCAAGGGGAAGCUUUUGGAAGCAAAGACCAAUUCUCCAAAUGCGCAAUGAAACUAAGCAAUGCAACUGGCAGAGUGGUAGUCAACUUCAUAAUGAAAACCAAA